rnacentral:rRNA from 1 species
AGCCCCUAGCAAACACAAGUAUUAGGGGUGCCGCCUGCCCAGUGAAGUCCCCUUUCAACGGCCGCGGUAUCCUAACCGUGCAAAGGUAGCGUAAUCACCUGUCUCUUAAAUAGAGACCAGUAUGAAUGGCUAAAUGAGGGCCCGACUGUCUCAUACGACCCCCCAAUGAAACUGAUCUCUCAGUACAAAAGCUGAAAUAGCCCCACAAGACGAGAAGACCCUGUGGAACUUUAACUACCUUACCAACUCAACCACAAGUAGCCAACAAGGUUACAAACCCAUGACUAUUGGUAAAAGUUUCAGUUGGGGCAACUAUGGAGCAAAAACCAACCUCCAUGCACCUACUCCCAGGCCAACCAGCCAAAGAACCCCACAAUCAGACCCAGUAACACUGACCAACGAACCAAGCUACCCCAGGGAUAACAGCGCCAUCCCCUUCCAGAGUCCCCAUCGACAAGGGGGUUUACGACCUCGAUGUUGGA